CCCACCGCAGGAGAAAACAGCCACAGAGGAGGGCAUUGCAGAUCAAAGUGUGGAGCUAGCAUGUCAUCCAGCAAGACCCGAAGCCGACUACACACCAGCAGCUGAGUGCCAAGAGGCCACACAAAAAAGGAAACAGUGUUCUCCCUUUCUCAGUACGUGUAACCUUUCAGAAAGCAAGAUAUCAUCUUACUCUUCAGGUUGUAUCCCUCAGGAAUAAACGUGAUUUUGGU